GACGAACGCUGGCGGCGUGCUUAACACAUGCAAGUCGAACGGCAGCACAGGAGAGCUUGCUCUCUGGGUGGCGAGUGGCGGACGGGUGAGGAAUACAUCGGAAUCUACUCUGUCGUGGGGGAUAACGUAGGGAAACUUACGCUAAUACCGCAUACGACCUACGGGGGAAAGCAGGGGACCUUCGGGCCUUGCGCGAUUGAAUGAGCCGAUGUCGGAUUAGCUAGUUGGCGGGGUAAAGGACCACCAAGGCGACGAUCCGUAGCUGGUCUGAGAUGAUGAUCAGCCACACUGGAACUGAGACACGGUCCAGACUCCUACGGGAGGCAGCAGUGGGGAAUAUUGGACAAUGGGCGCAAGCCUGAUCCAGCCAUACCGCGUGGGUGAAGAAGGCCUUCGGGUUGUAAAGCCCUUUUGUUGGGAAAGAAAUCCAGCUGGCUAAUACCCGGUUGGGAUGACGGUACCCAAAGAAUAAGCACCGGCUAACUUCGUGCCAGCCGCCGCAGUAAAAC
rnacentral:rRNA from 1 species